UGGGUAUCAGUUCUCCAAGGUGAUAAUAACAUCAAUGAUAUUCAGAUGCAAAUUACCCAUUUACACAAACUUAGAUUCAUCACGUACCCAUUCAUAAUAUUGAUAUCAAUACAAAUCAUUCAACUAGAUCCAAUUUAAGAGGGAAUGAGAAAACGAUCAGAACCUGUCGGGAUUCAUAAAUUACAUCAAUGAGAAUCAGAGGAUUGACAGACAAAUGAAUUUUAUCGUCACUUCGG
rnacentral:lncRNA from 1 species